AGUAGGGCUGGGGUGUCAGCUGGGCUCUGGGUGCCUUCCUGGCAGGUUUUAUGUGUGACAUGUGGCACUGUGUGUACCAGCUACUAUAAUAUGCACAGUGUCUCAGGCCUGCACAAAUUCCCUUCCGCCUGCCAGGAGGCCCAGCCCAGGGAGGGGUGCCUCCUGGCUGCAACAUGAGUAGGGGGAUGUCUCCUGGCCUGAGUUCCGAGUUCCAGCAUGGGCUGUCCUUGGGGAGGUGUCGGCUGGCCUGCACUCUGACCCAAAUGCCUCCUCUUGCCCGUGGAGCUGUCCUUGGAUGCCUCUGGCUUGCUGGGACCCUGUGGGGCCAGCUACUCCACCUCACAGGGACAUAAACACCAGCAGAAACCCCGGGCCUGUGGGGGUCCCUGCAGGUGGGCUCAGUGUCCCUCUUGGUCCUGUCCAGCUGUGAGGAGGUGUCCCUGGACCACUGGGUUCUUCUCUCCUGAGGUAUAGAAUUUUCUGGUCUCAGCGCAGCUGGCUCCCCUGGGGACGUUCGGCCCUGUCUUGUUAGUGCAGGUCAGCUGCCUGCCAGCCUGUCCUCCUCCUAGGUCUCAGCUUGAGCCUGUCAGGUGGAGCCAAGAUUCCAGCCCAGGCCCUGGGGCUCCAGUGUCCAGCCAAGUCGCCCUCCAGAGCUCUGGUCCAGGUGCCGUGGGGUGUCGGGUCCAUCCAGUCUGAGGGGUCUGCUGCCAGACUGGUCACUUUUAGGUGAGGGCUGGGCUUGUCAAGGGGCUUUUGGGCCUGGCCUGAGCCAUUGGGGGGUGUCCCACUGUGAGAGAAUCCCUUGCAGAACCUCCCUCCAGCCCCCGGGACUGGGCACGGGGUGAGCCUGUUGGCCCCAGUGCAAGGGUGAGAGCCGGGGUGGGCGAACUCAGUUGAGCACCUGAGUGUAGUUGGAGGCCCGAGACCCUUUAGGGCGGGUGUGGGUUGUGGUGCCCAGCUGCCGUGGGCAGUUCUGGGCAGAGCUCUUCUCACUGGGGUACUCCCAGCUAUAUCCACUGUGAUUCAGGGCUGCUCAGGAUCUGUUCAGGACGUCAGGCCUUUCUUGGUGAGCACCUGCACCUGGGAGCCAACGUGGCCAAACCCAGUCAGCACUUCACAGUGCACCGUGACACAGCCUCUUAGCAGAUUACCUAGGCGCCCCGUGCCCACAUGCCACCCUCCUGGAUGGUGUCCCCACCGUUCUGUGGAAGGGGACAUGAGGACAAAGAGAGGGAAGGGAGAGACGCCGUCCCUGGAGAGAGUGCUGGGCUCCUGAGGACCCCUCAGGUGACUGUCCUCCCUGUUCACACUCUGAGGGUUCCCCAGGAGCUGUGUGAGGAGUGGUCUCCUGUCCCCUGUGGCUUCCAGCAGGGUGGGGUGGAGCCCUUCUGACCCCAGACAAGGCCUCUGGGGUGCGGGCAUGUGGCUGGGACAUCAGGGCAUUCAUACCCUUUUCUGCCUUGGACACUGGGUGCCAGCCAGGGGCUGGGUGUGGCCUGCCCGCUGUGUUCUGGAGCCUGCUCUGGCUCUCCAGCUCUGACAGCAGCUGCUGAGGAGUCAGUAGCCUCCUAAGUCUAUUGGGAGAACCGGUGGAGGUGACCAGCCCAGCCCUUGGGAGUGGCAAUGGCUUUGGGACAUGGGUCACAUCACUGUGGUAUCUGCUGUCCACUGACACAGUGACAGAGGCCCCAACAAUAGAACUGUCCCCAGGGCCUGGGGUUGUCUGCCCCAUCUCCCCUGGGCCCCUCAGAAGGAUGUGCUCUGGAUGGUGAGCUGUAGGUGGGGCUGGGAGGACAUCCCCCAGAACUGACCUGAGUCCCCCUGAGGCCCAGGUCAUAGCAGGAAGGGGUUCACCUGCAGGUUGGUCCCCAAAGCCUGAUGUAGCCGGGGUGCCUGGCCACCUGGUCACCUGGGUCCCGUCCUCUGUCCUGACCCUAGUUUCCCUGCUGUGGGGGGCGAGGGUGGAGCCUGGGGAGGGCCAGUUCCCGUGGGGCCUGUGAGCCCUGGAGCAGCCUGCGGGCCUCUGAGCACCUGCUGCUCUCCAGGGCCGUGGGCCUGGGUCCCCUCUCGGCUCAGGCCUGGCCCAGCUGUGGCCUGUCUCAGAUCACCCACGGGCUGCAGGCACCACCUGGCCAUGCUGGCCGCAGGGCGCACUGCCAGUCCCCUGCAGGACCCCGGCCUGGCUCUGCCCUGGGCCGUCUCCCCAUGCAGGGGCUCUGGGUUUCUCUCUCCCUCGCCCCUGCUCUGACCCUCCAGCCACACAUGGACAUGUGGACAGUUGCCUCUGCUCUAGAAUCUGGACCUCCCGCUAGAGGGGCCUAUCCUUCCCUGGCCAAGGUCAGAUCAGUGGCCUUGAGGGGGCCCAAGACUCAUAGGGGCAGCUGCGAGUCUUGGGGCUGUGGAGGGGCAUCCAGCUGGCCCCAGUUUCUGCUCUGGGCAGCAUCACUGUGGUAGCCAUAGCCAGCUACACAGUCUGAUGUCCCCUGACAUUAACUGAGCGUGGCCCCAGACGGAGGGCUGGAGGGGGCUUCCAGGGAGUGUGGGGGAGAGGUCCAAGCAGUGGGCUGCUCCAGGGGACAGCAGGGCUGAGGAGGCCAGCCUGCGAGGCUCAGCAGGACUGGAGUCCAGAGAUUGGGGUGGGGUGUGAGCAGACUGUGAGGAGCUCAGGACCCUGCAGUGGCUUUCGGGGAACACCAACCUGUGCUCCUUGUCUCUGCACACUCAGAGCUGGGGCCAGGGCCACUGGGGCAGGCUGGACAUCAGCAUCGAGGGUCUCAGGUGCUGGGGGUCCUGAGACAACAUGGGGAGCAGUCUGUAGCCUGCUGAGCUUAGGACUCCUGCCCUGAGAGCAAGGACAGUGGAGUCCGUUACGUGGCUUGCCUCAGCCUUGGAGACCCAGGAGGAGCUGGGUGGCCUUGCUGGGCGGCAUUGGCAGGGCAGACGUCUUUCCUGGUGUGCAGCUGUGAAACACAGUCCUUCACCUAGAGGAGUAAACUGUCAGGGUGAGGUGGGAUCAGCAGCCUUGAGCGCCCACACCUGAGGAGGGCCGCCAGGCCAGGGACGGCAGCCUGUCUAGUGGCUCUGCUUACUGCUAUGGGUGGCACCACUGUGGUGAGUACAUUGUACUUGGAUAUAAGACAUUGUAUCCAACCACAGCCUGAGACCCCCUGACAUUAAAUAGGUCUGGGCCAGGGUGGGGCUUGGGGGAGCUUCUGGGCAGCAGGGGCCUCUGGGGCAGCAGAAACCGGCACCACAGAGGCCAGGGUUGCCCAGGGACCCAGACCUGGGCACAGUCCUCCCCUGGAACGAGGCCCUGCAGCCCUGAGCAGUCUGAGACAGGCCAGAGGCACCACCUUCGUCUGGUCAUUGCGGGUGGGGUGCCCUGGCCCUCCCUGAGCCCUCUGGGUGCCUACUGGGAAGUCCCCAUGCAGCAGGGAUUAGGUUAGCUCCAGGGGUGUCCUUUGGGUUCCAGAGGCUCCCAGGAAAGGCCAGCAGAAGCCCCGCCAGGCCCCAGGUGGUCUGUGACCCCUCUGAGGCUGCCAGUGGCCCUGGGGCUCCCAGGAGCCACCCUACUUUGUGAAAGGUGGGAACAUCCCCCAGACAGCCCUGGGGAGAAGGGAAGGGCCUGGGGCGGAGGAGGGAGGGAAAAUAAGACAUUUCCCUUCCCCAUUGAGCAUUAGUCCUGGAAGGAGGGAAAUAAGUAAAUGUGAAACUCUGGGAAACAAGGAAUCCCAGAGGAAGAAGAAGAGCGGUGGGUGGGAUCUGAGCCCCUACCUCCUCCAGGUAACCAGGAGUUUAAACUUUUUACAAUUGCUUCCUGAGUUAAUUUUAACCUGCACAACUGGUUUCAGCACUGUCCAAUCCCAGGUCCUCAGUCUCCAAUGACUAAGCUGCCCUCCUUGUACCCUGUGAAAUUUGAGCCCUUCUGUAACCAGGGGCCUUUCCUGCCCAGAGAGGGAUCCCCAGGGCCUGAGGGAUGGACUCUGGGGAGUGAGAGCUGACCUGUUGGCUGUGUUUCCCUCCUGGUUAUCUGUGCUUCCACAGGGUGCUGAACCUUGUGGCUGCUUCUGCUUACACUUUGGGUGUCCCUCCUGUGCUUCUCGCUCCUGUUCCUGGGUGACUGAGUGGGGCCUGGAGAGUUACCUGCUCUCUCAGAGGCAAAGGUCUCUGGGGGUCUUUGUUGUUGGGAGGUUUGGGGGUGCAGCCCACUGGUUCAGGCCAGGAUGAGGCUGGAGGCCUCUGGCUCCUGGGGUGGAGAGCUGGCUCCUCUUCUGCUGGGGCUGCCGGGCUCUGUGGAGUAGCUGCUGGACGCCAAGGCACAGAGCUGUAUGUGGCUGUGCAGUCACCUCAAAGCCCCCAAAGCCUCCAGCUGGUGGGCUCCUGCUGUGCCCGGGCUCCAGCUGGUGGGCAGAGAUGCUGGGAUCUGGGUGUGGACUCUCCAGUGCCUGCCCCUGCUGCCCACAGGGCUGUGAGCACAGGACGCCCUUGGUUCUCGGGGUUUUUGCUGCUGGGUCUACCACUGUGGUAGCUAUAGUAAUACCCAUCAUAGUAGUAGUACACAGUAGGAGAGCCCUUCACAAAAAGCCCUGCCGACAGAGGCCCCUCCCAAACCCUGGGCCAAACUUCCAGCAAGUCCACAGACAGCAGUGCCCAGUCACUGCCAAUACGUGGGGGUCAGGCCUCUUCCUGGAAAGGCCUGCAGUGACAUCCUGCUGGGGGUGGGCAGGAGGCAGGUCCCCCUGUAGCUGCAGCCAUGGGGCAGGUGUGAAGGUGUAGGACUGCCCCACAGGGUGUCUUGAUGCAGAGUGUGUCCCAGGAGGUCCCCAAGGACUGCACUGGGAGGGUCUGAGGGAGGAAGAUAGGAUCUCUGGAAGCAUCCGUGUCUUGGAGUGUGGAGCUGGCAGCUCGGUUGGGUUCCCCUGGGGAUUGUCCUUGGACACCCCCACCUCAGGAAGGAGGUGUCUCCUGAGGACCUAAGAAGUGAACUGCAGCUCACCUCAGGGCACAGCUGGGACCUGGCAGGGCACAGCUGGCCUGUGGCCUUGAAUGGCUCCUGAAAGCCCUCGGCUCCCUGAGGGGCAGAACCCCAGCCUCUGGGACUGAGUCCUCUGCUCUUCUCCUUUGCUCCUCCCUUUCCUCUUCCUGAAAACCGUGUCCUCCUUAUUAAAUCGGCAUGAAGUGGCAUCCGGGACAAGGACUGAGCUCUCCGUGACAGUCUGGGUGGGUGCAGUGGAGCUCCCGCACCACCUUGGUGGCCUUGGGGGCAGGACCCUGGUG